GUGGGGAAUAUUGGGCAAUGGGCGAAAGCCUGACCCAGCAACGCCGCGUGAAGGAAGAAGGUCUUCGGAUCGUAAACUUCUAUCCUUGGUGAAGAUAAUGACGGUAGCCAAGAAGGAAGCCCCGGCUAACUACGUGCCAGCAGCCGCGGUAAUACGUAGGGGGCAAGCGUUGUCCGGAAUGAUUGGGCGUAAAGGGCGCGUAGGCGGCUCGGUAAGUCUGAAGUGAAAGUCCUGCUUUUAAGGUGGGAAUUGCUUUGGAUACUGUCGGGCUUGAGUGCAGGAGAGGUAAGCGGAAUUCCCGGUGUAGCGGUGAAAUGCGUAGAGAUCGGGAGGAACACCAGUGGCGAAGGCGGCUUACUGGACUGUAACUGACGCUGAGGCGCGAAAGUGUGGGGAGCAAACAGGAUUAGAAACCCUUGUAGUCC
rnacentral:rRNA from 1 species